GCCCCCGUGAGGAUGCCCUGUCCGUCCCAAAUCGGAACUAAGGAGCGGGUAUCAGGCACAUUCUUAUGGCCCACGACACCUUGCUUAGCCACACCCCCAAGGGAUUCAGCAGUGAUAAACAUUAAGCCAUAAGUGAAAGCUUGACUUAACUAUUGCCAAGAGGGCCGGUAAACCUCGUGCCAGCCACCGCGGUUAUACGAGGAGCCCAAGUUGAUAGCCUCCGGCGUAAAGCGUGGUUAAGAUAAAAAUUAAAGUAAAGCAGAACGCAAACCAAGCUGUUAUACGCAUUUGAAAGUAGAAGCCCAAUUACGAAAGUAGCUUUAUAUGACUGACCCCACGAAAGCCAGGGCACAAACUGGGAUUAGAUACCCCACUAUGCCUGGCCCUAAAAAUUGAUAGUUUAUUACAUCCACUAUCCGCCCGGGAACUACGAGCAAAACUUGAAACCCAAAGGACUUGGCGGUGCUUUAGACCCAACUAGAGGAGCCUGUCCUAGAACCGAUAAUCCCCGUUCAACCUUACCUUUUCUUGCAACUUCCGCCUAUAUACCGCCGUCGUAAGCUUACCCUGUGAAGGUGCCCAUAGUGAGCAAAGAUAGUAUCACCCCAUACGUCAGGUCGAGGUGUAGCUUAUGUAAAGGAAAGAGAUGGGCUACAUUUACUAUCAGUAGUAAAUUACGAAUGAUGCCCUGAAACCCCGCAUCUGAAGGUGGANUUAGUAGUAAGUAAAAAAACAGUGUGUUUUACUGAAACUUGGC
rnacentral:rRNA from 1 species